UACAGAGGGUGCGAGCGUUAAUCGGAAUUACUGGGCGUAAAGCGCACGUAGUCGGCUUUGCAAGUCGGGUGUGAAAUCCCCGGGCUCAACCUGGGAACUGCAUCCGAGACUGCAUUGCUAGAGUAUGGGAGAGGGAAGCGGAAUUCCGGGUGUAGCGGUGAAAUGCGUAGAUAUCCGGAGGAACACCGGUGGCGAAGGCGGCUUCCUGGACCGACACUGACGCUGAGGCGCGAAAGCUAGGGGAGCAAACGGG
rnacentral:rRNA from 1 species